UACAGAGGGGGCAAGCGUUGUUCGGAAUUACUGGGCGUAAAGGGCGCGUAGGCGGCCAACUAAGUCAGACGUGAAAUCCCCAGGCUCAACCUGGGAACUGCGUCUGAUACUGGAUGGCUCGAGUUCGGGAGAGGGAAGCGGAAUUCCAGGUGUAGCGGUGAAAUGCGUAGAUAUCUGGAGGAACACCGGUGGCGAAGGCGGCUUCCUGGACCGACACUGACGCUGAGGCGCGAAGGCCAGGGGAGCAAACGGG
rnacentral:rRNA from 1 species